AUCCAACUGACGAGUCCCACAUAGGAUGAAACGCUCUUCCUGAAU
rnacentral:hammerhead_ribozyme from 1 species